rnacentral:rRNA from 1 species
GACGAACGCUGGCGGCGUGCUUAACACAUGCAAGUCGAACGGAAAGGCCCUGCUUUUGCGGGGUGCUCGAGUGGCGAACGGGUGAGUAACACGUGAGUAACCUGCCCUUGACUUUGGGAUAACUUCAGGAAACUGGGGCUAAUACCGGAUAGGAGCUCCUGCUGCAUGGUGGGGGUUGGAAAGUUUCGGCGGUUGGGGAUGGACUCGCGGCUUAUCAGCUUGUUGGUGGGGUAGUGGCUUACCAAGGCUUUGACGGGUAGCCGGCCUGAGAGGGUGACCGGCCACAUUGGGACUGAGAUACGGCCCAGACUCCUACGGGAGGCAGCAGUGGGGAAUAUUGCACAAUGGGCGGAAGCCUGAUGCAGCAGCGCCGCGUGCGGGAUGACGGCCUUCGGGUUGUAAACCGCUUUCGCCUGUGACGAAGCGUGAGUGACGGUAAUGGGUAAAGAAGCACCGGCUAACUACGUG